rnacentral:rRNA from 1 species
AGAGUUUGAUCCUGGCUCAGAUUGAACGCUGGCGGCAUGCUUUACACAUGCAAGUCGAACGGCAGCACGGGGGCAACCCUGGUGGCGAGUGGCGAACGGGUGAGUAAUACAUCGGAACGUGCCCAGUCGUGGGGGGGAUAACGUAGCGAAAGCUACGCUAAUACCGCAUACGAACUCUGGUUGAAAGCGGGGGAUCGCAAGACCUCGCGCGAUUGGAGCGGCCGAUGGCAGAUUAGGUAGUUGGUGGGGUAAGGGCUCACCACGCCGCCGAUCUGUAGCCGGUCUGAGAGGACGACCAGCCACACUGGGACUGAGACACGGCCCAGACUCCUACGGGAGGCAGCAGUGGGGAAUUUUGGACAAUGGGCGCAAGCCUGAUCCAGCCAUUCCGCGUGCAGGAUGAAGGCCCUCGGGUUGUAAACUGCUUUUGUACGGAACGAAAAGGCCUGGGUUAAUACCUCGGGCUCAUGACGUACCG